rnacentral:RNase_P_RNA from 1 species
CCAGACGGCCGGAUGGCCGCGCACGUCCUACGGGGCGGGCGAGGAAAGUCCGGGCUCCACGGGAAAAGGGUGCCGGGUAACGCCCGGCGGGGGCGACCCCAGGGACAGUGCAACAGAGAGCAUACCGCCGAACGGCGUGCGGCCGAUGAGGCCGCGGGCGCGUGGCAAGGGUGAAACGGCGGUGUAAGAGACCACCGCGCUUCCGGCAACGGAAGUGGCACGGCAAACCCCACCCGGAGCAAGACCAAAUAGGGGCAGCAGGUCGGCUUCGGCCGACGGACGCGUUCCCGCGUUGCUGCCCGGGUCGGUCGCGCGAGGCGCCUGGCGACAGGCGUCCCAGAUGAAUGGUCAUCCCCCGCCUUCGCGGGCGGGGACAGAACCCGGCUUACAGGCCGUCUGGCAUU